rnacentral:rRNA from 1 species
UCAAUCAAGCUGUGUAACNAUCUAGGCACCUCUUGCGCNUGUUACGAGUUGUAACUUGAAGAACGUAUCUUUGGAGUUGGCCCCCGUCUAUGUUCCUUGGAACAGGACGUCACAGAGGGUGAGAAUCCCGUGCGAUGGGGAGACCAAUUCUAUGUAAAGUUCCUUCGAAGAGUCGAGUUGUUUGGGAAUGCAGCUCUAAGUGGGUGGUAAAUUCCAUCUAAAGCUAAAUAUUGGCGAGAGACCGAUAGCGAACAAGUACAGUGAUGGAAAGAUGAAAAGAACUUUGAAAAGAGAGUGAAAAAGUACGUGAAAUUGUUGAAAGGGAAGGGCUUUUGAUCAGACUUGGUGUUUAGUACUCUCUACUCCUUGUGGGUGGGGCUCUUGCUUUAUACUGGGCCAGCAUCGGUUUGGAUGGUAGGAUAAUAGCAUUGGAAUGUGGCUUCAUUCGUGAAGUGUUAUAGCCUUUGUUGAUACUACCUAUCUAGACCGAAGGACUGCGUCUUUUGACUAGGAUGCUGGCGUAAUGAUUAAAAGCC